ACGCUCGACACCUACGGGGAGGCAGCAGUGGGGAAUAUUGCACAAUGGGGGAAACCCUGAUGCAGCGACGCCGCGUGAGCGAAGAAGUAUUUCGGUAUGUAAAGCUCUAUCAGCAGGGAAGAUCAUGACGGUACCUGACUAAGAAGCUCCGGCUAAAUACGUGCCAGCAGCAGCGGUAAUCUGAGCGGGCUGGCAAGGC
rnacentral:rRNA from 1 species